CAUGCANUNUAGCGUCUCUUCGGAGAGAGCGGCUNACGGGUGAGUACGCGUGGGUAACCUGCCCUGUACACACGGAUAACAUACCGAAAGGUAUACUAAUACGGGAUAACAUANGAAAGUCGCAUGGCUUUUGUAUCAAAGCUCCGGCGGUACAGGAUGGACCCGCGUCUGAUUAGCUAGUUGGUAAGGUAAUGGCUUACCAAGGCAACGAUCAGUAGCCGACCUGAGAGGGUGAUCGGCCACACUGGGAACUGAGACACGGUCCAGACUCCUACGGGANGUCAGNAGUGGGGGAAUAUUGCACCAAUGGGCGAAACCUGAUGCAGCAACNCCGCGUGAGCGAUGAAGCCUUCGGGUCGUAANCUCUGUCCUCAAGAAGAUAAUGACGGUACUUGAGGGAGGAAGCCCCGGCUAACNNCCNCCCACCAGCCGCGGUAAUACGUAGGGGGCUAGCGUUAUCCGGAAUUACUGGGCGUAAAGGGUGCGUAGGUGGUUUUUUAAGUCAGAAGUGAAAGGCUACGGCUCAACCGUAGUAAGCUUUUGAAACUAGAGAACUUGAGUGCAGGAGAGGAGAGUAGAAUUCCUAGUGUAGCGGUGAAAUGCGUAGAUAUUAGGAGGAAUACCAGUAGCGAAGGCGGCUCUCUGGACUGUAACUGACACUGAGGCACGAAAGCGUGGGGAGCAAACAGGAUUAGAUACCCUGGUAGUCCACGCCGUAAACGAUGAGUACUAGGUGUCGGGGGUUACCCCCCUCGGUCCGCAGCUAACGCAUAAGACUCCGCC
rnacentral:rRNA from 1 species